rnacentral:rRNA from 1 species
UCGAGAAUCUUCGGCAAUGGGCGCAAGCCUGACCGAGCGACGCCGCGUGCGGGAUGAAGGCCUUCGGGUUGUAAACCGCUGUCAGAAGGAAGGAAAUCCAUAGGGGCACUCUCCUAUGGUUGACCGAUCUUCAGAGGAAGUACGGGCUAAGUUCGUGCCAGCAGCCGCGGUAAGACGAACCGUACGAACGUUAUUCGGAAUCACUGGGCUUAAAGAGUACGUAGGCGGCUCGGUAGGUGAGGUGUGAAAUCCCACGGCUCAACCGUGGAACUGCGCUUCAAACCACCGAGCUUGAGGGAGACAGGGGUGAGCGGAACUGAUGGUGGAGCGGUGAAAUGCGUUGAUAUCAUCAGGAACACCGGUGGCGAAGGCGGCUCACUGGGUCUCUUCUGACGCUGAGGUACGAAAGCUAGGGGAGCGAACGGGAUUAGAUACCCCCGUAGUCC